GUAGUCGUGACCGAGUGGUUAAGCGACAGACUCGAAAUCUGUUGGGAUAUUCCCGCGCAGGUUCAAAUCCUGCCGACUACG
rnacentral:tRNA from 1 species